rnacentral:lncRNA from 1 species
CCCAAAAUUGAUAGAAGAUCAUAAAGAUAAAUAAAUUUUAUUUUUAGACUAUAAAGCUAGAUUUAAAAAAAUAAAGGACUAUAUACCUAAGAAAAGUUUUUUCUAGAGCUAUACACCUAAUUCUCCCAUAGUAGAAGAAGAACAGGGACAGAGAUGGGCCGGGCACUCGACUCAUAUAGCACUGUUCACUGGAUACAUUAGACAACAUACAUUGGGCCGGACACUCGGGUACUGGGCCGGCUAGCUCUCUUGGCCCUUGACGCGGUCGCCGC